GACCUGAUAGCACAGUUGGUUAGUGCGUCUGUUCGAAUUCAACUAGGCGGAAAAAGUUUAAACAGAUGACCCCGGUUCGAAUCCGGGUCAGAUCA